GACGUGAGUAGUCCAAUUGGUCGAGCACGCGCCUCCAGAAAGGGUGAAGUUCGGGUUCGAGUCCCGCUGACGUCA